rnacentral:sRNA from 1 species
AGAUGUGAGGGCAAUCUGGCUGUGACAUCUGUCACCCCAUUGACCACCAGGGUUGACUCAGCUGAUCUGGCUGUCUAGAUGGGUGCCCCUUGCUCCCUCACCACUCCAUGUGCAUCCCAAAACUGUAUGCUCAGUCGAAGAGGACCACCAUCCCCGGUAGAGGAGAACCUUUCUUCGGUCAAGGGUAUACGAGUAGCUGCGCUCCCCUGGCUAGAACCUUCAAAACAAACUCUCUCUCACUCAUAUCUGUCUCUCUUUGGCAAACACUUACAUCUUUCUGGCAAAUCAGAUAAAUUUUUUUUU